rnacentral:lncRNA from 1 species
GGGGGAGGCUGGUGAGGCAUGUCCUGGCUUGUCUGCGGUGUCGGCUUUGAAGAGGCCCCAGAGGUGUUCCUCUGCUUCAUGCUGAUUCCUGGGAGGAGAAGGCCUAUCCCAAAGAAGGGGCCAUGGCCAUCAAGGGGCAACAGAGAUGGUGGGCUCCUUCAGACCAAUUGGAAGCAGAGAAACUCAUGGUGUCAUCACAGCCUCGGUUAUUCCCCCACCCUGGACACCGGUAUUCAUUUUGAUGAAUGUCCAUCCUGUAAUGUGGGAGCUACUGGAGGAAGCUACUUGAGAAAGAAGAAAAAGGCGCAUGGUGGCACUGGGCUCUUCGAGUUCACGGGCUCUCUGCUAUUAACUGUGAUAAUAACUUUCCCCAAGGAACUCUUCCUAUUCUCAGAGGGAUCAGGCACCUUUACCUACCAAUGCCCAGGAACAGAAUUGUACCUUGUCAUGAGCUUCUUGCUUUUUUGA